rnacentral:tRNA from 1 species
AAAGAGUUAGUUAAAUAUAAUAUAAAUAUGUCAUAUUUAAGUUAUUAGUAUAAUCUAGUACUCUUUG